AGGACCAUAUGUGUCUGCAGAGAUAGCAAAAGCCAGAGACUGCCAUAAUUUAGCCAAAUAAACAACUUCACAUACAAGAUAUGACAUGUGGCAGAAGAGAUCCAGGAAAGGACACAGUUUAAGCCUCCUAAAUUCAGAGGCUUUAUGAUUCAAGUAAGAGAGUAGAGGCAAGAGGCAACCCAAUAGAUACAGAUUUCUCUGCAACACCAAUUUCUAUUAGGGACAAGUCAAGGAGGACAAACCAUAACCAAAGCAGAAGAUACAGACUUCUUCAAAACUGAUGCUUCUAAAUUGAGGAUUUUUUGUGUGCCUGAAAGGCCUUGGAUAAAUAUUUGGGUAAGAAUUCGGAAAUGGAUAGGAAAAUCAGACCAGCAUGUAACAGGAGUAAUGUGAAAAUAUUUGGUGGGACAAAGUGGGCUAUAAAUGAUGAUCCAUCUGGCCCAUAGAGAUUUAUGAGAGACUGUCUGCUAGUGAGGCUAGUGAGGCCAAGAUCUCCUUUUUCUGGAGUGUGAUCGGAGAGGAAGCACAGGGGCAAAGACUGAGACUCUUGUUCACUGGAAAAGUAUAUUUUUAAAAACCCUCAGAGAAUGCAGGAGGGACUUCAAAGUAGACUGCAAAAGCUCAGGCCUCCUGGAGCUACAUGCCUUAAGCUGAAGGCUGUGCAGCUUGGUCCCAUGCCAAUACAUGUUCCAGGAGCUGCUGAGAAGGAGAAGCUGAGAUUCCUGCAACCUUACAGGCACGGUGUCUGAUCCUGAUGAAUGGCUCUCGAACAACCACUUACUUUCUGCCUGAAGAGUUUUUUUAAAGUCUUGGCAGUUCCUUUGACCUGCUCCUCCUUAACACUGACAAAAAAAAACCCUAAACUGAGGAGGUAGUAUCUUCCCAGCUUCCACAUUGUAUCUUAAUCCCUCCUGAGGCAUCUUCCUAGUUAUUUUACCAGCAGCUGCUGUCCUGUCUGCCUGGUUGCUCUUAAAACUACUUUGAUACCAAACCAACAAUACACACAUCCCUGAAGCAACCAUCCCAGUACUGGGGCAUACAUCCUCUCCAUCCUCAGCUGGAGAUGCAUGCCAUGCCAUGCUGGGCAUAGAGGGCAAGGAAGAGAGGGAAAAACCCCACGGCACACCUUUAGGCAUUCUGAAUGUCCAAGCUGAGAGUAGAGGCUAGUGAGGGACCUGACACUUGAGGCUUCUUUCAGAGGUCCCAAGAUCAGAACUGCCCUGCUGCUCAUAUGAGGCACAGAGACAUCUGAGGUUGGACCAUAGUGAUUUUCUCCUCUUCUCUCUUCCUGAAGAUAUUUUUUGAGUUUCUCCCUUUUCAUUGCUGGGACUACAAAGUCUGUACAAGCUGUUCUCACCCUUGCAUACCCAGAGAAAUAAACCAAAUCAUAAUAAUAGCAUAUGAAAAAGCAGAAAUUUAUCUCAAGAUCAUGGUAUUUCUAUUAAGGCAACUGGAGGCAAACACUUAUGACCCAAAUGAUGGGGAAGGCAGGCAGGAAGAAAGAUAUGAGAAAAGGAAUUAGUAAUAGAAACAACAUGAUAAUUCAUCUCUACCAACAAAAAGGUUCUUGCCCUUCUCAAAUAAAUGACUUGUAACAAACCAUAAAGGUUUGUCUAACAGUAAAACAGACAAAACACAAUAUCUAAUUUCAGCCUCAGAGAAUAAAUUAUUUAAUCCUUCAUUUUUUAAAUUUAUUUUAAUUCUAAAAAAGAUCACUAGCUCCUCACUCUGGCGCUUCCACAACAAUUUAGCAAGCAUCAAAUGACAAGAUAAGAAACUGAUAAAUCUCAGUCCAAAGGAGGAUUCUGUCUACCCUGACUCAGAGGAGAAACUUUCCUGUUCAGCUCCCUCUUGAGAAAAGCUGGCAUAAAUAAAUACAGUGCUUUUCCUACCUUCCUCAUUUAGGAACAAAACACCAUCACCAGCAUGUGAUACAGCCUCAAGACCACAGCUUUCUAGAAAGAAAGGUCAAGUGAAACAGUUCUUCCUAAACAGCUUGCCUGACUGCAGAAACAGGAUCACACCAAGCAAUGAGCAGCAGGACAAGUGCCUUAAAUCACACAUCACAGGUGCUUCUCCAUCCUCCAUGAUGCCAGCGUGGACUGCAAAGGAGUGGGGAGGUGGGGAGGAAAUACAGGGACACUGUCACAGUUUUCACACUGACCACACUUUUGCCUGACAGAUCCUGGAAAAGGCAAGGCCACCUGGCUACCAGCAACAGCCAGGCGUUGGACCAGGCCAACAGAAGCCCUCUAUCUCCAUUCCACUGAGGUGGAGGCAUGACCAGGUAGAAGAGAAGGCAGGAAGCAGUGACCAGCUGGAAAACUACCAUGAAAAAAACCCCAAGGACUACUACAAAAACAUGAAAACCCAGGGAAAAAAAAUCAAUAAAAUACUGUAAUAUAUUACCUUUAUGUGAAUGACUCUUCACGCUCGCCUAGACUGAGUCACUCUGGGAACUGCCUCGCGGUCCAUCUGGCUGCCAACUCCUGGCUAAACCUGAACAUCCUGUGACUGAAAUGAAUGCAUCAAAGGCUAAGGCGCCGCAAGGUAACAAGGUUCUCUUUGUCCAGCACUUCCAGAUGCACCAGCAUUCCCCUUCUGCUAACUCUCACACAUCCUCUGGGUCUGUGUUUGGUGUAUUUUUGACUUUCAGAGGCUGCAAAGAAAGGGUAGACUUGAACUUUGCCUCUCACUCUAACUUCGUGGACCUCCUCAAUCCAUCUCUGGCCAUGUAUCAGUGAUAGUAUAGUUCUGGAUACAAUUUACUGGAUACAAUUACUAACUGGAAAAUAGUUUGCAAUUUUUCCUUGCUCUGGACAUAAAAUUUUGCUACCACUUAUGUCAACAGCUUUCAAAUACUGGAGAAUGCAGUUGUUGCAGAUGAAUGCAGGCAUAGAAACCCCUCUGACAGGAUCAUACAGAAAGUGAGACUGCACUGCUGGAUACUGCACUUCCACAGAUUUUCAACCCACUUACAGUUGAAGAGGAAGGGGGAAGGAAAAAAAAAAAUAUAAAAAAAGUACUCCUUACAUUCCCAGCUUUCCUCCCCAAAUCAGAAACACUGCUAUCUCCUAGGUGGCAAUAUAAACUUAAAUAAUCUUUCCUGCCCUCACUAAAACUAUUUUUAAACCAGUAGUGAGGCACAAAACAAAUGUCCCAGCAGUCAGGUACCAAACAAAUGUCCCAGCUAAUGCAAUGUGUAUUACUCAGUGAUGAUAAACACUAUACACCCACCUAGACUUUUCACUUGAUGUGGUUGGAAACUGCUAUGUAAGGUGGAAAAAGUAAGGCAGGCUGCUUUAUUUUUGGCAUUUACUUUAGAGUUUAGGCUUACUGCAAGAGUACAUUUACUCUGGCUCUGUGUGCUGCUUCCAGCCAACUGUGUAAAGCUAUUUAGUGGCUAGUUCUUUGUCCAGAAGAAAGAGGUAUCACCCCCCACCUCCCUUGUGUCUCCUACUCCACCACACUACCAGACUGCAAGAAGGGAGCGCACUGGGAGGGACCUUCUCCUUCUCGUCUGACAGAGCAGAGCUCAGCAAGGUAAAGCUCUGUCUAGCCAACAAAGCUCUUUACCACGAAUAUCCUUAUUAAACACAGCCUUAUCAGAGUCCAGUUUCUGCAGUCUGAAGCAGUCAGGAAUUAACUCUGUCAAUAUAAAAUUUCAAGCCAGGAUUAGAGCCCAGACCCAAGGGGAUGUGAUCAAGCGUUCAAGCCACAACAGAGUCACCUGACUCUGCUCACACCAUGUCAGGGGGCUGCCCAAGGGGCCAGGGCUCAUACUGUGCACCCACCACCCUGGGGCUACCCCAGCCCCCUGAAGGGCUCACUCCCCAGGCUGCUGCAGCAGGAGAAGGGGGAUGCUAAAACUUGUCUGUCUAGCAGGAUGGAAGGGAAAUGCUCUGCCAGCACUUCCAAAAGAGGACAGGUUGAGGGAAGACCCUGGUACAGCAACAUCACCUGUGUGCAGAGGGCAUGAAAAGCCAGCCUGGAAGAGGCAGACAGCACUUCACAAGUUAGCCCAGGACUGUCAGCAUGGGAGGUUCACCAGCACCUCCCAAAAGCAUGCCACCACCCAGCAAGGUGCAUGGCCAAGAUACAGACUCAUUCAGUAUGCUCCUUUGUCAGCCUCUGGCUCUAAUCCCCACCCACAGGAUCAGACUGUGUCUCCUGCCUUAUCCACAAGACAAAGCUGUCUAUCCUGACACAGCCCUCAGGGCUGUGGGACCAGUGCUGCCUCUGCCUUUGCUCCAGGGUGGGCCUCCUCCGCUGGCACGGCACAGCACGGCACGGCCGCCUGCCCGGCCUGCAGAAGGUGUGAGCUUUGCCCCACAACUCCAUGAGUCAAGGCCUUAAGGGUGACCUUGCUUCUCCUGCUACAUAUUGAAAGCUGGCAAUGCUAUUGAUGGACUCUGUGAAACAUGUUUGUAAUACCGAGCUAAUAAGGCAGCAGUGAGGCUAUUGUGCCCUGUCAUUAGCAAUCCCAGUGAAAGAGCCUUCAUGCUGCCCUUCCCUAUAAAAUCCUUGUCCACCUCCCAGUAAGGCAGAAGUGCAUUUCAGUGCAUGCCUAAACUACAGUCAUUUUUAAACUCUUUCCCUGAGCUUAUUUUACAGCAGUUACUAAAUGGUUAAGCUCAUUACUGAGUCCAAAUAUGAACAUGGGGAAAAUAAUUCCAUCGCUUUUGGCACAGAGUAAGUGCAAAAGUUGCCUUUCUGCUUGACUAAAAGCCUGAAAAGCAAACAAUGCACACAGCAUACAUUGUUCAAGAAGGGAGUGCAAACAAGCCUAAAAGCAGAUUAACUUUGAAGGUGUGCAGGAGUAAAGCAGGCAGCACCUACUGUUCCCAGCCCAGCACCCCAGGCAGCGGGUGCAGAACGCAGCACCAGCUGGGAUCCUGACCAUUAAUCUCAUCAGCACUGGGAAACCUGAAGUUGCACUUCAGAAAACAAGCAGCUAUUAAAAGAAAUUAAAAAUAUUAAAAAAAAAAAAAUAGGUACAGUCGUAAGAGCUUUAACAAGACAAGGCCUUCACCCCCAAAGAGCAAAAGAGCACACGCUCCUUAUUUUAAGACUUAUUCAUCCUUUUCUAAACAAAAUGAAGAAGCUUUCAGCGAGCCAAAACCUGUGGGGAGAUUUUCAGUAACCAGAGUAUAUGCUUUGAUUCCUACUCAAGUCAGCAGAGAUCAGGUGCCUAACCCAUCUGCACCUCUGAAAUCCCCUCAGUAACAGCUUAAUGCCACAAAAGGGAGAAGCAAAUGAGUUUUGUCUAUAGGCUGCUUCUCAAACAAAGACUACAAAUUGCAUGUGACGUAGUGCUGCACAAGUUUGACUGUAUGUGUCUGUGUGCAAGUGGAAGGGCUAAUGGAGAACUAUGCCAGCUUCAGAAGGGAAUAUUGCUGUCACUAAUUUUUAAUAAAAAAUACAAUUUUAUAAAUAUAACAUCCCAGAGAUUCUGUUCACCCUAUUAUGCAAGACCAUUGAUUUGAGCAACCUGCAAUUUGGAAGCAGCAUGUGCCACUGCCUGCCCAUGGCCAUAGACCCCAUGAGCCACACAGCUCAACCACCAGAACUGGACUUGACAGCCACAAAGCACCAACAAGACUUCCAGCCUACUGUCCUAAGAGCUAACCCAGUCAAGCCCAAAUCUUCCUCCUUUUCUUUAAAGGCAUUUACCUCCAUGGCCCAUUGCAUCUGUUUAGAGCAGCACAGUAACUCCAUGGCCACAGCUGUGAAACAGACCUGCUGCCCAGACCUGCCCCCCUGGAUUUUCUGGAGAUGAUUAGGUGGUUGCAUGAGUGCAUCGUUUUCCACCCUCAGCAGCUCCUUUGUCAGCUGCCUGCCUGCACACAGGCUCAUAUUGGGUGGCACUGCUCCAAACAGGGUUCUCAGAAUCCACUUGUCUCUUUUUUUUAUUCUUCUUUAUUUCUCUCUGUGCUCUGCAUCGUGCCUCAGUGAGCAUGAGACCACCUUGGGAAUUCACAGCCAUGGCUUCAGAUGAAAUCAACCAAGCACUGCAAAUUCAAGUUUGUUUGUUUUUUUUUUUUUUUUAAGUUUUGGUUCAUCUUCAAAAGCAGAGAAAGGGCACAAUUCAAAAUUUAGAUUUAAUCUUCCUAUAUGGAAUGUCUGGACUCAGGUAGGGAGCCAAGUCAGGCACCUAUGAAUUCAAGUUCUCACCUGGACCUGCUAGCUUCCAAAAGGUUCUUCUGCUUGUCAUAUCACAACACAGCAAUUGAACCAUCAUCCCCCUCACCCCACCCUUUAUCUUCUGCAAAUCUCCCUGGGUGAUAAACAGUGAAGUUUGUAAACACACUGGCAUUUUGAUGUGGAUUUUCAGUUCAAAAAUAUUAAAAGUGACAUGCAUUUGGCAGUACUGGAGAAAUCAUAUGCAGAAGGUUCCAUCCUCACACCGAGCACCUGGGGAGAAACAUCCAACAAGAUGUUGGGUGUGCUAAUGCGAAAUCAGUUUGUAAGGGAAUAAGUUUGUAAGGGCCAGCACCUCCCUCAGUUGUUAGCAUUUAAAAGAAGCCAUGGCUUUCAGAGGGACCCAAGACAGACUCAUAGAAUUUCAAUUAGUUCUUCUAAAUCAAGCUUCUUCUAAAAUCAAAUCCAGUGCUUACACCUAUAAUCAUACCUAGGUUUUGAAAUACCUUUCUCCUUUUGUGUAUGUGCAAGUCUUUAUUCGGGAAAAUCUUUUAUGUGGAUGGUUAACUACAAUACUUAAGUAUUUCUUGAAGUAAACACAACUUAAGCUCAUUUAGAUUUAAGUAGGUACUUGCCUGCUUGCUUUUCUGAAGGCAGAUGAACUUAAUUACAUAUGUACCUAUUCUUCUAAACAAGGGCCCUUCGGACAUUUAGGAUUACUUUUUGCAGGGUUUCUUUUUUUAAUCAAGAUGUUCACACCUCACUACAGAGUUUAUAACCUCAGUUAUAUUUAUAUCCUUAUAAUAUUCUCAGACUGGGAUACGUGAGUACAGAAUAUACUUACUUACUUGGAAUACAUUAAUUUUCAUCUGAAGAAAACCAUUUACAUAUACCCAGUUUCACUACAAAUUUAGGCAGUAUAUGAUUAGCACUAAUUCCUGGAUAUGCUGUUUUACUGUGCAACACAUUGAUCUUCUAAAACCUUGAAUUGUAAUGUUUAAUAAUCUGUUCCUAAACAGGGGUCUAAACUUGGCUUCUCCGCAUGUUUUGCCAUACUGUAUUUGACUUGUUAAUUAUCAGCCCAAAAGCAGCACUCAAAGGAAAGUAAAACGUAAAGAUCCAUGUUAAUAUAGGCAUAUUUAGAUUCAUCUCGUUAGAAAUCAGUAAUGCUAGCUUUUACAUUCUAAGUAAUGUUUAGAUGAAAAAUAGGCACUAAGUACUUUCCAUUGACAUGUGUAGACAGUACCUAUAUAAGAUU